ACAUGCAAGUCAACCGGGACCUUUCUUCGGAGAGUAUAACGGUGGCGGACGGGUGAGUAACGCGUGAGAAACUUACCCCAUAGACAGGGAUAACCAUUUGAAAAGAUGGCUAAUACCUGAUAAGCCCACACUACGGCAUCGUAGAGCGGGAAAAGAUUGCACUAUGGGAGAGUCUCGCGUCCUAUUAGCUAGUUGGUGAGGUAACGGCUCACCAAGGCGACGAUAGGUAGCCGGCCUGAGAGGGUGAACGGCCACAAGGGAACUGAGACACGGUCCUUACUCC
rnacentral:rRNA from 1 species